AACGAACGCUGGCGGCAUGCCUAACACAUGCAAGUCGAACGAGACCUUCGGGUCUAGUGGCGCACGGGUGCGUAACGCGUGGGAACCUGCCCUUAGGUUCGGAAUAACUCCCCGAAAGGGGUGCUAAUACCGGAUAAUGUCUUCGGACCAAAGAUUUAUCGCCUUUGGAUGGGCCCGCGCUGGAUUAGCUAGUUGGUAGGGUAAAAGCCUACCAAGGCGACGAUCCAUAGCUGGUCUGAGAGGAUGAUCAGCCACACUGGGACUGAGACACGGCCCAGACUCCUACGGGAGGCAGCAGUGGGGAAUAUUGGACAAUGGGCGAAAGCCUGAUCCAGCAAUGCCGCGUGAGUGAUGAAGGCCUUAGGGUUGUAAAGCUCUUUUACCCGGGAUGAUAAUGACAGCACCGGGAGAAUAAGCUCCGGCUAACUCCGUG
rnacentral:rRNA from 1 species